rnacentral:rRNA from 1 species
AGCAGCCGCGGUAAUUCCAGCUCCAAUAGCGUAUAUUAAAGUUGUUGCAGUUAAAAAGCUCGUAGUUGAAUUUCGGGAUUGGCGCAUCGGUCGUGCCUCACGGGGUAUGAACUGGUGCAGUCAAUUUCUCACCUUCUGGAGAACCGCGAUGUCCUUAAUUGGAUGCCGCGGGGAACCAGGACCUUUACUUUGAAAAAUUAGAGUGUUUAAAGCAGGCAUUUUUGCUUGAAUACAUUAGCAUGGAAUAAUAAAAUAGGACGGCAUGGUUCUAUUUUGUUGGUUUCUAGGACCACCGUAAUGAUUAAUAGGGAUAGUUGGGGGCAUUAGUAUUCAAUUGUCAGAGGUGAAAUUCUUGGAUUUAUUGAAGACUAACUACUGCGAAAGCAUUUGCCAAGGAUGUUUUCAUUAAUCAAGAACGAAAGUUAGGGGAUCGAAGACGAUCAGAUACCGUCGUAGUCUUAACCAUAAACUAUGCCGACUAG